UGAGCAAUCUGCCCUUCUCUUCGGAAUAAGCGUUGGAAACGACGUCUAAUGCCGAAUACGACCUCCUUUCACAUGAUCGGAGGUGGAAAGCUUCCGGCGGAGAAGGAUGAGCUCGCGGCCUAUCAGCUAGUUGGUGGGGUAAUGGCUCACCAAGGCGACGACGGGUAGCUGGUCUGAGAGGAUGGCCAGCCACAUUGGAACUGAGACACGGUCCAGACCUGUACGGGAGG
rnacentral:rRNA from 1 species